rnacentral:rRNA from 1 species
CAGCAGCCGCGGGAAUACGGAGGGGGCUAGCGUUGUUCGGAAUUACUGGGCGUAAAGCGCACGUAGGCGGCUUUGUAAGUUAGAGGUGAAAGCCCGGAGCUCAACUCCGGAGUUGCCUUUAAGACUGGAUCGCUUGAAUCAUGGAGAGGUGGGUGGAAUUCCGAGUGUAGAGGUGAAAUUCGUAGAUAUUCGCAAGAACACCAGUGGCGAAGGCGGCUCACUGGCCCGAUACUGACGCUGAGGUGCGAAAGCGUGGGGAGCAAACAGGAUUAGAUACCCCUGUAGUCCCUGUCUCUUAUAU